CCAAUAGCGUAUAUUAAAGUUGCUGCAGUUAAAAAGCUCGUAGUUGAAUUUCGGGACUAAUAUGUCGGUCGUGCCUCGGUACGUACUGGUAUUUUUGGUUUCUCCCUUCUGACGAACCUUGAUGUCAUUAAUUUGGUGUCUUGGGAAAUCAGGACUGUUACUUUGAAAAAAUUAGAGUGUUUAAAGCAGGCUCACGCUUGAAUACAUUAGCAUGGAAUAAUGAAAUAGGACGUUUGAUUCUAUUUUGUUGGUUUCUAGGAUCGACGUAAUGAUUAAUAGGGAUAGUUGGGGGCAUUAGUAUUCAAUUGUCAGAGGUGAAAUUCUUGGAUUUAUUGAAGACUAACUACUGCGAAAGCAUUUGCCAAGGAUGUUUUCAUUAAUCAAGAACGAAAGUUAGGGGAUCAAAGACGAUCAGAUACCGUCGUAGUCUUAACCAUAAACUAUGCCGACUAGGGAUCGGAUGAUGUUAAUUUUUUAAUGACUCAUUCGGCGCCUUAC
rnacentral:misc_RNA from 1 species